UACGUAGGGGGCUAGCGUUGUCCGGAAUCAUUGGGCGUAAAGAGCGUGUAGGCGGCCCGGUAAGUCCGCUGUGAAAGUCGGGGGCUCAACCCUCGAAUGCCGGUGGAUACUGUCGGGCUAGAGUGCGGAAGAGGCGAGUGGAAUUCCUGGUGUAGCGGUGAAAUGCGCAGAUAUCUGGAGGAACACCGAUGGCGAAGGCAGCUCGCUGGGACGGUACUGACGCUGAGGCGCGAAAGCGUGGGGAGCGAACAGG
rnacentral:rRNA from 1 species